CUACGGGUGGCUGCAGUGAGGAAUAUUGCACAAUGGGGGAAACCCUGAUGCAGCAACGCCGCGUGGAGGAUGACGCAUUUCGGUGUGUAAACUCCUUUUAUAUGUCAAGAAAAUGACGGUAGCAUAUGAAUAAGCACCGGCUAACUCCGUGCCAGCAACCGCGGUAAUACGGAGGGUGCAAGCGUUACUCGGAAUCACUGGGCGUAAAGGACGCGUAGGCUGGUUGGUAAGUCAGGUGUGAAAUCCUACAGCUUAACUGUAGAACUGCACUUGAAACUACCAACCUAGAGUAUGGGAGGGGGAGAUGGAAUUAGUGGUGUAGGGGUAAAAUCCGUAGAUAUCACUAGGAAUACCGAAAGCGAAGGCGAUCUCCUGGAACAUAACUGACGCUAAGGCGUGAAAGCGUGGGGAGCAAACAGGAUUAGAUACCCUUGUAGUC
rnacentral:rRNA from 1 species